GUACUUGCUUUGGCAGCACAUAUACUAAAUUUGGACCGAUACAGAGAAGAUUAGCAUGGUCCCUGCACAGGAUGACAUACAAAUUCAUGAAGCGUUCCAUAUUUUG